AAGGAGUCUAACACGUAUGCGAGUCUGCGGGUCCAAAAACCCAUAGGCGUAAUGAAAGUGAGUAUAAGGUGCGAAUCGCAAGACUCAGCACCGACCGACCUUGAUCUUCUGAGAAGGGUUUGCGUAAGAGCAGACGUGUUAGGACCCGAAAGAAGGUGAACUAUGCGUGUGUAGGGUGAAGCCAGAGGAAACUCUGGUGGAGGCUCGCAGCGGUUCUGAAGUGCAAAUCGAUCGUCAAAUAUGGGCAGGGGGGCGAAAGACUAAACGAACAUUCUAGUAGCUGGUUUCCGC
rnacentral:misc_RNA from 1 species